rnacentral:rRNA from 1 species
CGAAAGCCUGACGGAGCAACGCCGCGUGAGGGAUGAAGGCCUCUGGGCUGUAAACCUCUUUUCUCAAGGAAGAAGAACUGACGGUACUUGAGGAAUAAGCCACGGCUAAUUCCGUGCCAGCAGCCGCGGUAAUACGGGAGUGGCAAGCGUUAUCCGGAAUUAUUGGGCGUAAAGCGUCCGCAGGCGGCCUCGUAAGUCUGUCGUUAAAGCGUGGAGCUUAACUCCAUUUCAGCGAUGGAAACUGUGAGGCUUGAGUGUGGUAGGAGCAGAGGGAAUUCCCGGUGUAGCGGUGAAAUGCGUAGAUAUCGGGAAGAACACCAGUGGCGAAGGCGCUCUGCUGGGCCAUAACUGACGCUCAUGGACGAAAGCCAGGGGAGCG